rnacentral:rRNA from 1 species
CAGUCGCCGCGGGAAUACGAAGGGGGCUAGCGUUGUUCGGAAUUACUGGGCGUAAAGCGCACGUAGGCGGAUAUUUAAGUCAGGGGUGAAAUCCCAGAGCUCAACUCUGGAACUGCCUUUGAUACUGGGUAUCUUGAGUAUGGAAGAGGUGAGUGGAAUUCCGAGUGUAGAGGUGAAAUUCGUAGAUAUUCGGAGGAACACCAGUGGCGAAGGCGGCUCACUGGUCCAUUACUGACGCUGAGGUGCGAAAGCGUGGGGAGCAAACAGGAUUAGAUACCCCGGUAGUCCAUGUCUCUUAUAC